GCUGGGCGGGGUGGCUCACGCCUGUAAUCCCAGCACUUUGGGAGGCUGAGGCGGGUGGAUCACCUGAGGUCAGGAGUUUGAGACCAGCCUGGCCAACACGGUGAAACCCCGUCUCUA
ensembl:misc_RNA Metazoa_SRP Metazoan signal recognition particle RNA